UUUCACGUCGGGUUCACC
rnacentral:miRNA from 1 species